AACCGGCUGGAUUAUUUUUCUUCACCCUUGUCUUUUGCGCACUUGUUGUUUCCUGGGCGGGUUCGCUCGCCACCAGGACCACACCAUAAACCUUUUUGUUAAUGCAAUCAGCGUCAGUAAAAAGUAAUAAUUAUUUUACAACUUUCAACAACGGAUCUCUUGGUUCUGGCAUCGAUGAAGAACGCAGCGAAAUGCGAUACGUAGUGUGAAUUGCAGAAUUCAGUGAAUCAUCGAAUCUUUGAACGCACAUUGCGCCCUUUGGUAUUCCAAAGGGCAUGCCUGUUCGAGCGUCAUUUGUACCCUCAAGCUUUGCUUGGUGUUGGGCGUUGUUUGUCUUUGGCCUUGCCCAAAGACUCGCCUUAAAACAAUUGGCAGCCGGCCUACUGGUUUCGCAGCGCAGCACAUUUUUGCGCUUGCAAUCAGCAAAAGAGGUUGGCCAUCCAUCAAGACUACAUUUAUACGUUUGACCUCGGAUCAGGUAGGGAUACCCGCUGAACUUAAGCAUAUCAAUAAGCGGAGGAA
rnacentral:rRNA from 1 species